rnacentral:rRNA from 1 species
CCUACGGGUGGCUGCAGUGAGGAAUAUUGGUCAAUGGGCGAGAUCCUGAACCAGCCAAGUCGCGUGAGGGAUGACGGCCCUACGGGUUGUAAACUUCUUUUGUCGGAGAACAAAACCCGGUACGUGUCCCGCUUUGCGUGUAUCCGAAGAAAAAGCACCGGCUAAGUCCGUGCCAGCAGCCGCGGUAAUACGGAGGAUGCGGGCGUUAUCCGGAUUUAUUGGGUUUAAAGGGUGCGUAGGCGGUCGGUUAAGCGUGCUGUGAAAUGUCCGGGCUCAACCCCGGCCGUGCCGGGGGAACUGGCAGGCUUGAGUUCGCGGAAAGUACGCGGAAUUCGUGGUGUAGCGGUGAAAUGCAUAGAUAUCGCGAAGAACCCCGAUUGCGAAGGCAGCUUGCCGGAGCCGAACUGACGCUGAGGCACGAAAGCGUGGGGAUCGAACAGGAUUAGAUACCCGAGUAGUC